GUCAUACUAGUUUAAUUAGAACAUAUGUGUUGCAUACAUAAAGUAGAAUAUCCUGUAUGACC
rnacentral:tRNA from 1 species